UACGGGGGGGGGCAAGCGUUGUUCGGAAUUACUGGGCGUAAAGGGCUCGUAGGCGGCCAACUAAGUCAAACGUGAAAUCCCCUCGGCUUAACCGGGGAACUGCGCUUGAUACUGGAUGGCUUGAGAUUGGGAGAGGGAUGCGGAAUUCCAGGUGUAGCGGUGAAAUGCGUAGAUAUCUGGAGGAACACCGGUGGCGAAGGCGGCAUCCUGGACCAACACUGACGCUGAGGAGCGAAAGCCAGGGGAGCAAACGGG
rnacentral:rRNA from 1 species